ACGCUAGCUACAGGCUUAACACAUGCAAGUCGAGGGGCAGCAUUUUAGUUUGCUUGCAAACUGAAGAUGGCGACCGGCGCACGGGUGAGUAACACGUAUCCAACCUGCCGAUAACUCCGGAAUAGCCUUUCGAAAGAAAGAUUAAUACCGGAUAGCAUACGAAUAUCGCAUGAUAUUUUUAUUAAAGAAUUUCGGUUAUCGAUGGGGAUGCGUUCCAUUAGUUUGUUGGCGGGGUAACGGCCCACCAAGACAACGAUGGAUAGGGGUUCUGAGAGGAAGGUCCCCCACAUUGGAACUGAGACACGGUCCAAACUCCUACGGGAGGCAGCAGUGAGGAAUAUUGGUCAAUGGGCGAGAGCCUGAACCAGCCAAGUAGCGUGAAGGAUGAAGGCUCUAUGGGUCGUAAACUUCUUUUAUAUGGGAAUAAAGUUUUCCACGUGUGGAAUUUUGUAUGUACCAUAUGAAUAAGGAUCGGCUAACUCCGUGCCAGCAGCCGCGGUAAUACGGAGGAUCCGAGCGUUAUCCGGAUUUAUUGGGUUUAAAGGGAGCGUAGGUGGAUUGUUAAGUCAGUUGUGAAAGUUUGCGGCUCAACCGUAAAAUUGCAGUUGAAACUGGCAGUCUUGAGUACAGUAGAGGUGGGCGGAAUUCGUGGUGUAGCGGUGAAAUGCUUAGAUAUCACGAAGAACUCCGAUUGCGAAGGCAGCUCACUAGACUGUCACUGACACUGAUGCUCGAAAGUGUGGGUAUCAAACAGGAUUAGAUACCCUGGUAGUCCACACAGUAAACGAUGAAUACUCGCUGUUUGCGAUAUACAGUAAGCGGCCAAGCGAAAGCAUUAAGUAUUCCACCUGGGGAGUACGCCGGCAACGGUGAAACUCAAAGGAAUUGACGGGGGCCCGCACAAGCGGAGGAACAUGUGGUUUAAUUCGAUGAUACGCGAGGAACCUUACCCGGGCUUAAAUUGCAACAGAAUAUAUUGGAAACAGUAUAGCCGUAAGGCUGUUGUGAAGGUGCUGCAUGGUUGUCGUCAGCUCGUGCCGUGAGGUGUCGGCUUAAGUGCCAUAACGAGCGCAACCCUUAUCUUUAGUUACUAACAGGUGAUGCUGAGGACUCUAGAGAGACUGCCGUCGUAAGAUGUGAGGAAGGUGGGGAUGACGUCAAAUCAGCACGGCCCUUACGUCCGGGGCUACACACGUGUUACAAUGGGGGGUACAGAAGGCGGCUACCUGGCGACAGGAUGCUAAUCCCAAAAACCUCUCUCAGUUCGGAUCGAAGUCUGCAACCCGACUUCGUGAAGCUGGAUUCGCUAGUAAUCGCGCAUCAGCCAUGGCGCGGUGAAUACGUUCCCGGGCCUUGUACACACCGCCCGUCAAGCCAUGAAAGCCGGGGGUACCUGAAGUACGUAACCGCAAGGAGCGUCCUAGGGUAAAACUGAUAAU
rnacentral:rRNA from 1 species